rnacentral:rRNA from 1 species
CCGGCGCACGGGUGAGUAACACGUAUGCAACCUGGCCGUCACAGGUGGAUAACCGGAAGAAAUUCCGACUAAUACAGCAUAACACUCCUGAGGGACAUCCUUCGGGAGUCAAAGGAGGCAACUCCGGUGACGGAUGGGCAUGCGGCGCAUUAGGUAGUCGGCGGGGUAACGGCCCACCGAGGCGACGAUGCGUAGGGGUUCUGAGAGGAAGGUCCCCCACACUGGUACUGAGACACGGACCAGACUCCUACGGAAGGCAGCAG